rnacentral:rRNA from 1 species
AACGUAGGUGGCGAGCGUUAUCCGGAUUUACUGGGCGUAAGCGCACGUAGGCGGAUUGGUCAGUUAGGGGUGAAAUCCUGGAGCUCAACUCCAGAACUGCCUUUAAUACUGCCAGUCUCGAGUCCGGAAGAGGUAAGUGGAACUCCUAGUGUAGAGGUGGAAUUCGUAGAUAUUAGGAAGAACACCAGUGGCGAAGGCGGCUUACUGGUCCGGUACUGACGCUGAGGUGCGAAAGCGUGGGGAGCAAACAGG